rnacentral:rRNA from 1 species
UAGGGAAUCUUCCACAAUGGACGCAAGUCUGAUGGAGCAACGCCGCGUGAGUGAAGAAGGUCUUCGGAUCGUAAAGCUCUGUUGUUGGUGAAGAAGGAUAGAGGCAGUAACUGGUCUUUAUUUGACGGUAAUCAACCAGAAAGUCACGGCUAACUACGUGCCAGCAGCCGCGGUAAUACGUAGGUGGCAAGCGUUGUCCGGAUUUAUUGGGCGUAAAGCGAGCGCAGGCGGAAUGAUAAGUCUGAUGUGAAAGCCCACGGCUCAACCGUGGAACUGCAUCGGAAACUGUCAUUCUUGAGUGCAGAAGAGGAGAGUGGAACUCCAUGUGUAGCGGUGGAAUGCGUAGAUAUAUGGAAGAACACCAGUGGCGAAGGCGGCUCUCUGGUCUGCAACUGACGCUGAGGCUCGAAAGCAUGGGUAGCGAACAGGAUUAGAUACCCUGGUAGUCCAUGCCGUAAACGAUGAGCGCUAGGUGUUGGGGACUUUCCGGUCCUCAGUGCCGCAGCAAACGCAUU